rnacentral:ncRNA from 1 species
CGAGAGGACCGGAGUGGACGAACCUCUGGUGUUCCGGUUGUCACGCCCGUGGCAUUGCCGGGUAGCUACGUUCGGACGGGAUAAACGCUGAAAGCAUCUAAGCGUGAAGCCUCCUUCAAGAUGAGAUCUCACUGGAACUUCGAGUUCCCUGUAGGGCCCUGGAAGACUACCAGGUUGAUAGGUCAGGUGUGUAAGCGUUGUGAGGCGUUGAGCUAACUGAUACUAAUUGCCCGUGAGGCUUGACCAU